AACCUUCUGUAUUUGAGCUGAGAUUGUGUCAGCGAUCAACUCGUUGGCGCUGGCUGAUGCAACUUCCCAAAUAAGUGAAGUA
rnacentral:pre_miRNA from 1 species